CACCUCUAGCAUUUCCAGUAUUAGAGGCACUGCCUGCCCAGUGACAUCUGUUUAAACGGCCGCGGUAUCCUAACCGUGCAAAGGUAGCAUAAUCACUUGUUCCCUAAAUAGGGACUUGUAUGAAUGGCCACACGAGGGUUUUACUGUCUCUUACUUCCAAUCAGUGAAAUUGACCUUCCCGUGAAGAGGCGGGAAUGACUAAAUAAGACGAGAAGACCCUAUGGAGCUUUAAUUAACUGAUUCACAAAAAACAACACACAAACCUAACCUUCAGGGACAACAAAACUUUUGAUUGAAUCAGCAAUUUCGGUUGGGGUGACCUCGGAGAACAAAACAACCUCCGAGUGAUUUAAAUCCAGACUAACCAGUCAAAAUAUAUAAUCACUUAUUGAUCCAAACCAUUGAUCAACGGAACAAGUUACCCUAGGGAUAACAGCGCAAUCCUAUUCCAGAGUCCAUAUCGACAAUUAGGGUUUACGACCUCGAUGUUGGAUCAAGACAUCCUAAUGGUGCAACCGCUAUUAAAGGUUCGUUUGUUCAACGAUUAAAGUCUU
rnacentral:rRNA from 1 species